UACGUAGGGGGCGUAGCGUUAUCCGGAAUUACUGGGCGGUAAAGGGUGCGUAGGCGGUCUUUCAAGCCAGAAGUGAAAGGCUACGGCUCAACCGUAGUAAGCUUUUGGAACUGUAAGACUUGAGUGCAGGAGAGGAGAGUGGAAUUCCUAGUGUAGCGGUGAAAUGCGUAGAUAUUAGGAGGAACACCAGUAGCGAAGGCGGCUCUCCGGACUGUAACUGACGCUGAGGCACGAAAGCGUGGGGAGCAAACAGGAUUAGAUACCCGCGUAGUCCCUGAG
rnacentral:rRNA from 1 species